rnacentral:rRNA from 1 species
AUUGAACGCUGGCGGCAGGCCUAACACAUGCAAGUCGAACGAGUGGCGGACGGGUGAGUAAUGUCUGGGAAACUGCCUGAUGGAGGGGGAUAACUACUGGAAACGGUAGCUAAUACCGCAUACCAUCGGAUGUGCCCAGAUGGGAUUAGCUAGUAGUUGGGGUAACGGCUCACCUAGGCGACGAUCCCUAGCUGGUCUGAGAGGAUGACCAGCCACACGGGAACUGGGAACGGGCCCAGACUCCUAGUGGAGGCAGCAGUGGGGAAUAUUUAACAAUGGGGGCAAGCCUGAGGAAGUCAGGCGGGGUGUAUGAAGAAGGCCUUCGGGUGGUAAAGUACUUUCAGCGGGGAGGGGUUACCAGCAGAAGAAGAACCGGCUAACUCCGUGCCAGCAGCCGCGGUAAUU